CCGAGCGUGUGUGUCAGAGCCGCCUUACCAUGCCUCCUCUCUCCUCCCCCCUCAUUGAUUCCUCUUUCCGAUCCCUCCUUCACUUUCUGCCUCGCUUUACACGCUUCCCAUCAUUUUCUCCGCCGGUCGGGAUAAGAGACAUGGUGCAUGGUGGGCAAAUGCAAGCGCCGGCGCUCUCUUUCACAGUGUAGGAGGCACCGGGAUCAAACCUGCAGAGGAAAGCCUUGGACUUCGGACCUUAAAGCAGACCACAUGCUAGCUGGGAGCCCAGAAACAGAGUCCUCUCCAAGCCAAACAAACCAAUUGUCAGAUAAUUCUCACCAGGGUGCAGUACCUGGGAGUGAGUCACGCACUGUACAUACUGACAUGCACAGAGGUUCAAAAAAUGAAGGCCAAACACAGAUUUUGAAUAAAGUUUUCUAAUAGUUUCUGUAUAAAAAAACAAGAAACCAUCUGAAUGAAUAAGACGUGCUCUUCUAGAAAUUAUGCUUAAAACAUGCAGAAAAAGAGAAGUGCAAGAGCCAACAAAAUUAAAAGACUUGAUCAAAUUUCAUGAGGCUCCGGCAGUGAGACAGUUAAUAUGCAAACAAGUCUGGCGGCUCUGUACGAAGAGGAGUGGCUUCUUUUUAGGACAGAUGAGGGAGGAGAGAGGAAGAGCAGAGGAAGGGGAGGGGAGUGGCCACGCUGCUGAAAAAGAAGCGGGUUGAAACAUGCGUGUGCGCGCGAGCACGCAGGAAGUGCGGGCGGCUGCAGAGGCACAGGUGUCGGUCUCUGAACACUCCAUUACUUCCUCAUCAAAGAGUCUGUAUUAGCGAGGCACUGCUCUCAUUUUUGCCUGUACCACAGCGAGAGCCUCCACUAACUCACCAUUAGGGAAAUGAGAGAUGAGAGCGAGCAGUGCACUGACUGAAACUGACAAGAUGGCAAGCUCCCACCAGUGCUCCUGAGCCUACAGCUAUGCAGAAAUAAAAUCCUUAUCCGACUCAGCCGUUAUGCUACCCAGUGUUAUUAACAACAUUAAUGAAUGCCUUUUUUUUGACAGAAUUCAAAACAGGAAAAAAAUUGAUCAUGGCUGAUUGAAAUUACAAUUAUGAAUUCUAGAGAAAAAAAAAAA